CCAAACAGAAUGGGCAUGAGAUGAGAUGGAGAGGACGAUUCACCCAGCCGUGGACCAGACUCAGAUGCAGGAGGAUUCCUCUCCACAGAUUCCCGGAUGGAACAACUCCAGGCAUGAUGCCAGUGAUGGAAUAAAAUUCUACCAUCUACAAAAUAAGAUGUAUGCUGUCAUGGAGAAUCCUGCAACCACAAACAGACUACUGUUCCAGUGGAGACUGUGUAGACAUAAUUACACUGAAAUGCUAUUUCAUAGCUGAAUUGUGACUCAGAAGGACUGAAAGGCUAGCUACAUGCAGGUCAGGCGAAAGGCCUUCUUUUGAGACACCUCACAGCCGAACAAUCCUGAGACAAACCCCGGAAUGGAGCCAGGCUGAUAAAGCUAUUCCCAUCUGUCAAUCAAACCCCAAAGGCCAGAGUGAUCUCGCAGGGCAGGCCGUGUGCCUACACACUGCCACUCCAGCCUCUCACGCCUCCGUGUCUCUCCCACCACACUAUGCCCUGGCGGAGGUCCUGUGAUAGUGGAUUAGCAUCAGGUAUCAGUGGUGAGACUGACAGAGGAACCACAGCAUGAUUAAAGGGAGUUUGUGGACUCAGUCAGCGGGACUGUCACAUGGGGACCACAACCCUUGGAGAGUGCUCGCUGGAAAACAGCUUCAAAUAUCCAGUUACAUGAGAGCCAAUUUCUUCAAAUCUUCAAAUCACACCAUGUUUAGUCGCAACGUACUUGGAUUGAUUCUAUAAAUAAAGCCAGAGAGCUAUGUUUAAAGAUGUCUUUAGCAUCAGCAAAGCAUGUAUAUGUGUGUAUA